rnacentral:rRNA from 1 species
GCAUAUAAUUAAGCGGAGGAAAAGAAACUAACAAGGAUUCCCUCAGUAGCGGCGAGCGAAGCGGGAAGAGCUCAACAUGAAAACCGGUGGGGGGCUCAGGCUUACCCCCGGGUUGUAUAGUAAAGUGGUGCCGUCUGUGUCGUGCCGGGUAUAAAUCCCGUUUGGAAUGGGGUGUCAUAGAGGGUGAUAACCCCGUCUUUGAUCCGGUCAUUUGCGAUGCGUUACGGCGGCCUUACGAAGAGUCGGGUUGCUUGGGCAUGCAGCCCUAAGUGGGUGGUAAACUUCAUCUAAAGCUAAAUAUUAGCGAGAGACCGAUAGCGUACAAGUACCGUAAGGGAAAGAUGCAAAGAACUUUGAAAAGAGAGUUAAACAGGGCUUGAAACCGUUAAGAGUGAAGCGAAGGAGGCCAGUGAUCAUGGGGCCAGUUCCCCAAGCACUUUUGCAAAAAAGUGCCGUAGCGUUCUGGUUUUUCCCGGGACAGCGCCGGCUGGGGGCGGGUGUCAACGGGGAGGAGGUUGAGGGGUUCAUUCCCCGCCUAACUCUACUCCCUUCUAGCUUGCACCCUGGCCGAGGGAUCCACAACCAAAACAGACGCAAGUCUGUUUACCUGUGUGAGGGCGCUGUCAAAAUGGCCUUCUCCACCCCGUCUUGAAACACGGACCAAGGAGUCUAACAUACUCGCGAGUGUUUGGGUGGUUAAAACCCCAACGCACAAUGAAAGUAAACGACAGCUCUGCGCUGUUGCUUGGUGGGAACCCUACUUGUAUAGAGGGGGGCACCAUCACCCGACCCCGAUCCCCUUGGGGUGGUUGGUUUUGAGGCAGAGCGAGUAUGAUGGGACCCGAAAGAUGGUGAACUAUUCCUGAGUAGGGCGAAGCCAGAGGAAACUCUGGUGGAGGCUCGUAGCGAUGCUGACGU